ACCGUUCACGGCGAAGCAAUCUUUAAUCUUCCUCAAACCCUAGAUCAGCAUCAUCAUCCUCUUUAUCGUCAUCACCAAUCGAACUCACAGCAACAGCAACAGCCACAGACGCAGCAAAAUCUACAGAACAAACCAAGAGCUGGAUCAUCAAAUCCAGAAGCACAACACCCAGAUCCAGCUCCUGUAUCGGUUGCCAACACAACCACAACAAGUACAAAAGAAGCUAAUAGAUCAAACCAAAGAUCACCAGCACAAGCACCAACAACAUCGACCGCAAUCAUCACUGCACCUUCGAUUAGAUAUAGGGAAUGUCUAAAGAAUCAUGCGGCCAACAUGGGAAGUCACGUUAUUGAUGGCUGUGGUGAAUUCAUGCCAAGCGGUGAAGAUGGCACCCCGGAAGGCUUAAAAUGUGCAGCUUGUGACUGCCACCGAAAUUUUCAUCGCAAAGAAAUUGAUGGGGAGUCGCAGUCUCAGUCACAGUAUGCAGCACAUUCUCUUUAUACUUAUAACUACCCCAGCAGAAACAACAGCACCCAGAGAAAUCAUCAUCAUCAACAACAGCAGCAGCCUCCUCCUCCGUUUCAUCAUCUUCAGCAGCAUCAUAGAAUCUCUUACACUAGUCCUCAGACGGCUUCGAUUGCACCUAUGAUGAUGACCUUCGGCGGCGGGGACGGGGCCGGGGGCAGUAGCGGGGGCCUUGAUGAGUCGUCAAGCGAGGAUCUCAACAUAUUUCAUUCUAGUGCAGGUGGACAGACAUCGAUGCAGGCCAAGAAAAAGAGGUUUAGGACAAAGUUUUCCCAGGAACAGAAAGACAAGAUGAUGGAGUUUGCAGAGACGUUGGGAUGGAGAAUUCAGAAGCAAGAUGAUCAACAAGUGCAUGAUUUCUGUACUCAAGUUGGAGUGAAAAGACAAGUGUUCAAGGUUUGGAUGCAUAACAAUAAACAAGCCUCCAAGAAGAAGCAUGAGUAAGCAUAAGAAUUAAUAAUUUUAUUAGAUUCUCCAAGAUGAUGAUGCAGAUCAAUUCGUGCAUAAGUAAUUAAUUAGAUAUUAGCUUUAGAUGUGAAUAAUCAAGUAGCUAGGGAGGAAGAUUACACAUUAAUUACAACUAGCUAUUACUGAAAAUUAUUUCUUGAUUUUCCUCAGUUUCUGGACAAUGUUAAUUUAAUUGACAUUAUUGCAAAAUAUUGCAAUCGUCUGAAAAAUUAUUUAUCCUGAGUUAUACAAUCAUCAGAAGACAUUAGUUUAAUCGUCUAUGUUUUGUUGCAAAACAUCUUCAGAUCUUACCUCUCCUCUGCACAUUGAUGACUCAAGAUAUUUCACUAAAGGAAAAGUUUAGAAUAAAAAGAAAAUCAAAGAAAAGACAACGAAAAAUAAAUAAUAAUAAUAACACAAAGUAAUGAACGUGAGUGUAAAUUUCAUGGUGUCAGUGGCUUUGUUUUAACUUCUGUUCCCUUCAGCUCUAAUUUGGUUGGAUAUUUUAUGUAAUUGUUUUCUGCAUUGCCCAAUUGGCCCCUAAUCAUAGAAGCCCUACCACACAUAAUGAUCCAUUUCCCUCAAGAAUUAAAGCCAUUAUAGACGGAUCUUGGUGUGCUUAUGAAAGUGACACUUCAUACAUUUCCCGGUUCAAUGUUUUUCUCCCACUAUUCUUGGUUUAUGUUUGAGUUGCGCUCUUUAACGCCGUCUGAAUGUGCACUGUUUGAAGUAAUUUCUUUCUUUUGAUUAAUGCUCAUGAUUUGAUGUUAAAUCUAAGUUGAUAUUCUUAUGGGAUAAUGCAUAAUAUCUCCCAAAAAAAUAAUAGAAUAAGCCGUGAACUAAUGUGCGUGCGUGUGUAUGUAUGUAUGUAUGUAUGUAUGUAUGUAUGUAUGUAUGAAUGUAUUCAAUGGCGUUUACAUUGUCACAUGAAAAUUUCCAUAAACAUACACACUCCCAUAUAUACACACACACACACACAUAAGAGUUCCCCUCUAAUAUGGGGGCCCUUAGGUUUUUUUUUUUUAUGCAGAUAUACUUUUAAGUGUUGGGAUUCAAGAGAGUUAGUUUUUCAAGUUAUUAUAUUGUACGACCUUAUAAUUCAUUAAAAAAAUAAUCUCAUUAAAUAUCACAACUUAAGAGUAUGUCUACAUUUCAAAGGAUUAACGGCACCCGCUCCUCUAUAUAUAUAUAUAUAUAUAUAUAUAUAUAUAUAUAUGAAUGAAUGUCACUGUCAUCACAACAGAUAUUUGAGAAUUCUUCAGAACUUUCAGACCUGUUUUUUUAAAUUUAUCCCCGGAGGCAAAAAUAUAUUAACUAUGAAGCCCAAGAAGAUCAGUAUUUGGGAGUAAAAUGGUAUUAAGCACCAAGGACAAGUUUCUAAAAGGAAAUCUGUAUACAGUUGAUGAGACCAUCACGUCAAUCUUCUCAUGGUAAACCAGUUGGGUAAGCUGUGUGCAAAUGUUGACUUUCACAGUUCAUUUAUUGCGCACAGCCUGGCCCAGCAGUGAUGUUCAUGGAAGCACACAUUUCCCACAAGAGGAGAAAAAUGAAAAUAACCAAUAUUUUUCAAGUGCAAGAAGAAUUAUUAUUUCACGAGAGAAUAGAGAAACAUAUAAAUACUGCCUUCACAUAAUGGUUGCAUGAAUAAUGUGCAUACGACCUACAGACUGAGAGAGUCGAGUACGGAUAUGUUUGAAAUUGAGAUUGAACAGAUAUAUCUUAAAAAUUACAACACUAAAGUUGAUAAACACUAACGGUUGUAAUUUGAAAGUUGUGUUAAUAUGAUUUUUCAUCAUAUAAGUGAAAAAUCAUAUUUAAAAUUUAUGAUUUACUAUAUAAGUAUAUAUGUUUUGUUUUAUAAUUAUAAUUUAUUAUUUACUAUUUAUGAUUUUUCACUUGUAUGAUAGAAAAUUUAUUAUAUGUUUAAUAAUUUGUAAAAAUUAGUAUUUACUAUAUUAAUUAACUUUUGUUUUCAUACCAGUUGUAACUUAAAAGUUAAAAUACUUCAAUCCCAAAUAAAACCUAUAUUUAAUAAUCAAACGAUGAUAUAUAGAACAGAAAGUGACAUUCAUAUGCGCCGAUGAAGGAAUAAGGUUAGGUCACUAAAUCGAGAUACAAGAAAUCUUUACUAGGAAGUUUUGGGAAAGUUAGGAGGUCAACCAAGAGUCACAAUACUUGUAGCAAAACUCAAAUAACUUGCAAAUUAACAGGGAAAAAUAAAACAAACAACAAAUAUAUUAGAAGAAAAAAAACACAUACACUUCUGUACUUAGUUCUUAAUAAUCAUCAAGCGUCCCAUCCAGUUACAGGAACAACUAAUCAAGCAGCUUCCUAUCUAUGUCUGCCUAUACAUUUACAAAUAAAUAAUAUUAAUUUCAGAACGUUUUCUCUACCCAUAGGAGUUUGAUCUCAGUACUUUUUUGGCAUGGAAAAUCCCAUUUCUAGACCUGUUCUAUAAUAUUGUUAAGUUAAUCUCAUUGGAAAUAUUUCCUAUGUUUUCUUCCUUAAUUGACAUGCACGAGCUUAAUUCAUAUAAUCAGAUAUUUAGAUUUUAGAAAGAACUGCUAGCUUUCACGCAAUAUAUGUUAUUAUUUGCCUUGAAAUUUAGUCCUCGUGAAUUUGCUUCUGGAACACCAGAGAAAUCUAGUACUAUUUAAUCUGGUAUUAUUUAGUGAACUUAUACAUACAAAAUUUAGAUCAAUGACCCGCUCUAACAAAUGAACUGGUCUCUCACCUUUCUCUAGCCCUUCCAAAUUCCAAUGGCCUCACACAAAGUCUUGAAUCUUUAUCUAUUGCUCACUAUACAAUACGAAAGCUUGAAUUUCUGUAAGGCAACAAUUUGAUCACUUACAAAUCUACGCAGUGAACGGAAUCACGGCGGUUUCAUAGGAAACAAGUAAUUGGGAAUCAGUGUUAAUCGGAUCAAUUGAUGAUAUUCUUUUUAGACAUGUGUGUGAAUGACGUAGGACUUUAUUGCAAAUUGAAAGCAAAUACAAAACACCGCAGACUGCUUAUUGCUACCAUCGAAAAGUAAAAACAGAUAAAUACAUAGAUGAUGGAUGAAUUCCAUCAGGAAGAGUUUCGAAUAAUCAUGAAUCCUGAAAAAGAAAGUACAUAUAGUAACUAAAUAUAGUGACUCACAAUUAAGCAGCAGGCAGAGUUGAGCUUCAGCUCAUGACAGCUGCUGCAUAAUUAGUUAGCUAGCAUAAAGGUCCUUUCCUUCUUAAUUAAGUUGUCAUCUUGUUAGCAAGAUCAGCGGUGGCCUUCGAUGCCUUCUCUUUAGCAGCCUCAUAGUUACCCUUGGUUUCGACAGUGUCGGUCUGUGAUGCCUUGUCUUUGGCCUCGCCCACCUUACUUUUGGCUUCGUCAUAUGCCUUCGCUGCCUUAGCUUUAGCAUCAAAAGUCUCCAAUGUCUUUCUGGCAUUACCAGUAGCAAAGUCUUUUACAUUGUCCAUUUGAUCGCGGGCCAUGUUGGCUGCCUCACCUGCCUUAUCCGCAGCAUACUGUGAUGCUCCUGAGAACAUAUAUAAAUAUGCCACAAUAACAUUUUAAACAAAAAGAACAAUUACUACUGCAUAAUUAAUAAAUACAAGGAUAUGAGCAUAAAACUAAUUAUUACCAGAAGUAGCAGAUUUCACUGUGUCCUUAGCCUUCGAGGCAGCAUCCGCAGCACCGUCCACCAAAUCAUGACCCACUUCAAUACGCUUGUCUACUUUGAAUCCCCUGGGGAACAGCAUACCAAUACCAAUAGCAUUAAUUGCAACAAUCAAUAUAAAAAAAAAAUUUAUUCCUUAUAUCUUAUAAAUAAUAGUUGGCUAUCUACAUAAUAAAUCAUUAAUACUAUUUUCCAAUCACCUUACUAUUACAUAAUGCUGGUGCUAAUUAAGGAGACAAAAUACAAUUAAUGUGCGUAAGUAAGUAGCAAAAAAAAAAAAAAAUAUAUUGGACGUGACCAAGAAGGCUUAGGGAAAAGAUGGUACGUACGAUUCUCCGCCCUCCGUGUCAUGAACCGCCUCCCAAAAUCCAACGGCCACCGUCAGUAACAUCGACGUGAUCAACAUCAACAGCACCACCUGCCCCUUCCCCAUGGUUUCUUAACUUCUCACACUAAUAAAAAUUAAUUAAUUACCAAGUUGAAAUGCCUCACAUAAACUCUUAACCAAACCGGCCUUUUUCAAUAUCUCGUAUUCCUCCCAUGUCUUAGUUCGUUGCUCUCUCAUAUAUACAUAUAGAGAGAGAGAGAGAGAGAGAGAGUAGAGCCUGUUAAUUGCUGAAACGUGGCAUCACUCAGAGUAACGUGGCGAUCUAGGAGGGCCUCCGUAAAGAGCAAAUUGCUAGUUUCUUGACACUUGUAUCAUGGCAAGGCCACUGUUGUCCGCAUCUUAUGCUUCCCUUUGAAUUGAAUUGAAUGCUUACUCUUCUUUCUUUCUCCGGAUACUAAGGAUAUAUGUCAUUAAUUAUGAAUUUUAAAAGUUGUUGAUAUCAUACGUAUGAAUUAAUGAAUAAGGUCCAUGCAAUAUAAACAUGGAAUAAUCCUCAAAAUUAUGUAAUAAAUUAGGUUCUUUUUUCUAUUAUUCACAUUAUUCUAGAAAUUUAAGUUUUUGAGUGGCACUAAAUAAAUAAGAAUAAAGUUUAUUUGUCCUCUUACUACGGUAAUACCAUAAUUUUUAAAAUAAUUAUUGAUAGUUGUAUUGCAGAAAUAAUAAUAAUAAUAGUACUUAAUUAUUUGAUAAAUUCUAUUGAAAAAGUUAUUGUAGGUUUCUAGUUGAUUAAAAAUAAACCUAUAAUUUCCUUUGAUAAUAUUAUAAAUUUUAAAAUAAUUAUUAAAAAUAUAUACAUAAUUGUUUUUGUUUUCUAAAGUCUUUGACUAAUAAAAACUCUUCUUUCAUAAUAUCUUUUAGGAUUAUAUAUCAAAAUCUCUUUUAUAAAGUCGUUUAAAUCAGAGCAUCAUCUAAUAUCAUUGCAAAAUGUUAAUAUCAAAAUCUUGUCACGAGUCGUUUAGAUAAGAACAAAUUUCAUUUCAAUUAGAGCGUAAGCUAAUCACAUUGACUAAAUUGUUAUUCGAACAAUUUCUAAUGUUAUCUACCUUAUCAAUUGGCUUUAACUACUCACUAUUACACAAAAUUUAUGGGAACUAAAUUUAAAUCGAUAAAAAGCUAUAUGACAAUAUUAUAGCUGUGUUUGCAGUUUCUAUUGUCUUGACAGUAUUUGGAAAUUAAAAUGUAUUACAAAGAUGUAUAUUUAAUUAGGUUAUAAAAUUAAAGUGCCUGGUGAUUUUUAUUUAUUUUUAAUUAUUUAAACAAAGAAAGGGGUUGGCUUCUAAAUUCUGAAAAAAGAAAGGGCAAAGGGUUGGGGGGGGGGGGGGGGGAUUAAGAGGAUAUGAAAGGGAUGCUGUACAUUAGCACCCAUCUAAAGACAAACCAAAUCAGAUGGGCCACACAGCCCAUUCAGACAACAGAGAAAAUUCAACCACUCUUCAAUCUUCAUCGUCGUGCCAAGUUCAGCAAGGAGCUAAGAAUACGUUUCAUUCUUGCAGUGAAAAAGGAAAAAAAAAAUGAAAACUUGAGACUAUGACGUUAUUUUUGGGUGGUUGACUGGUGACAAGUGGCAACCUUCAGAGAAUCCCUGUGUCUUCCGAGCAGCCUCUAAAUUCCAGAAUCACAUCACCAGACAAAUCCGAUGAAAUAGGGAUCAGGCUACGGUGCAACUGUGGCACCGUGUCACAAUUACAUCUAGCCGUUUGAUGCAAUUAGAGUAAUGGAGUUCACUGACAUCCAACGAUUAGAUGCAAUGUUUAAUUAGUAACUCUUAAGCAGACUUUUCAAAUCCUAUUGCUUUUGCCCUUAAAAAAACCGUCAAACUACUGUCAUAUGUAAUAAUUGCAAUGUUCAAGUACAUACAGGCAUAAUCAGAAGCUUUAAAUUAUUACUUUUUUUUCACAUAUUAUUUCUUGUUAUAUGAUAAAUUGAUGUGGUAGUUUUUGUAUUUUUUUAAAUUAUUUAAUAUGUGUGUAUCUUUUAUUUGUCAUAGAUUAAUAUAAUUUUAGUAUUGAUAAAUUAUUAAAUGAAAUUAAUCUAAUUCUAUGAAAUCACAUGCACGAGAUAAAUUUCUAAUGUUUGCAGGAUUAUAUGGUGAGCUCUGAAUACUCCUACGCCUCUUGAAUGCUACAAACAUAUGAUAGGAUAAAGAUUUGCUUCAAAUGGUCCAAACACGCCCUUAUGUUAAACUCCUACCGCCCAAAAAAUUAUAUUUAAAAUAAAUGAAAUAAUAUAAAUAAAAACCUUCUCCAUAAGCCAAAAAAAUAAAUGUGAUUAAUUAUACAUGACCUUACAAAACAAAUAAUCAAUCAUAAGAAAAUUUCUCCACCAUAUAUCUGUGAAUAUAGAUGAGAUUAUGAGAAGCCGCUCUCCCCGAAAGAAGGGUUAAAAAUAAUAAUAAUAACUCGAGCAAAUUCCCCAACAAGGGCCAUAACAGGACGUUUUAUGGUAGAGGCCAUUUCAUAGACAAAAAUGCAAUUUUCUUUAACAAAUAAUGGGUGAUGCUUUCAUAAAAAUGAAAAUUUGAGCCUACUACUGAUUUUUAGUUGGCUGACUACCUUCAGCUGCUAAUUUUAUACGUUGGUGAUGCUCUUCAACUUUGUAUUCAACAACUUCUCUAAACAGCUGGGAAUCCAACACACAGUCUGGGCGGGCGUAGACAGCUGCUUGAACACUGGCCAUGAGUUUUGCAAUCUCACGGCCGGAGAAUCCUUCUGUCUUCCGGGCUGCCUCUUGAAUCACAUUGUCGGACAGAUCUUUUAUAGUUAUCUUCUGCUGCUGCUUCUUAAACAAAUGACCCCAUUUCGAUGAGCUACUAUCACCUUCAUCGGAACAAAGAUACUUCUUCAAAUAGAGUUUCAGCAGUUUGAAACGCUCCUCCUCUCUGGGAAGUGGGAACUCGAUCACUUCGUCAAUUCUGUCAGUGAUAGCACUGUCAAGAUCUCCUGGCCUAUUGGUGGCAAGAACAAGAACUAUAUCUCUUGACUGAUCACCAGUUAGAAAGAGCAGAGCAUUUAAAGCACUCCGCUGAGCUUCACUCAUAUGUAUGCUGUUGCGCCUGCAUUAUAUAAAAUCUUGAUUGCUGAAAGAAACUCAACCAUAAUUCAUUAAAGAGAUACAAAUAACCUCCAAUGGAAACAUACUAUUAUUAGAGUUCAGAAAUUUUCAAGCAAUUGCACUUAAUAUAUUAAUGAGAAGCUUUAAAUUGGCUAGAUUGAAAAAUGGAGAAUCAAACACAAAUUAAGAUGCAGAUUUCCAAGCCAAAGAGAAACUGCCAAACUCUUGUUGAAAUACAGUAGUUUGAAGUCAUUGUUAACGCAAAAAAUAGAAGCCACCCAAUAAAAAAUAUGCUGAACCAGUAUAUUUCAAUCAUUUUUCAAGGAACAAUUUGAUAAAAUAUGUGAUGAAGAUGGUAACUUACUCGCAUAAAAAUGCAUCAGCCUCGUCAAUAAAAAGCAGCAAGCCUUUCUUUGAUUUCUUCGCCCAAUCAAAUAUCUCAUGGAUCUUAGUAACAGCCUGUGCACCAAGAGGUGCAACAUCUCCUCCUGUCAUCAUGGCAUAAUCCAAUCCCUAUAGUAUAAGACACAAGGUUCAACAUCCUCAAAUGCAUUGACAAGAGUGUAUAUCAAAAUCGUUAACAUUAGUCCAUAUGUUUACUCAUGCUGCUAUUUAUCCUACAGAGAUUUGCUCCAUCUCAAGACACAGCGACAGUAGUUAUAUAGACUAUAUAUUGAAAUGUAACAAAAAGUUUAACAAAAACCAUAAAAGCAAAAUAAAUUGAAGCACUAGCUACACCAUACCGAUUUUCUAGCUAUCUCUCUCGCAACCAUAGUUUUACCAGUACCCGGAGGCCCAUAAAACAACAUGUUGCGAAAGGGUGCUUGGUGAAUCUUGGUGUUGGCGGUAGCUUUAGCAAGAUGCUGUAUCCUUCUUUGCAGUGAAGGAUGGAGAAUAAUAUCUCCAUUAUUCUUUAUUGCUUCAACGGGCCCUGCUGUCCCAGCUGAUGUCUUAUUCCUAAUAACUUUGUUCAUGGCUUGAGACAAUAAUCCUGACCAUGGAAAUUUACCAAUGGAAGAUUCUCGAAUUAGUGAUGGCUGUCCCAGUAUCCGGUUAACAUAACCCCAUGUAACCCUAGCACCUUCUCUGAAAACACAGCAAGAAAAAUCAAAGAGAUUUCAGAUGGUGAGUCCCAUAGCAAUUGACCAUCUUAGCAGGGUUUUGAAUUAGGCAAUAAUAUCCAUAUCAAUAGAGUUAUACCACCUAAAAAUUAACAGUUCAAAAACAAAUUUGAAAGACCCAAUGAAAAUCAAUAGACAUCAAGCUAUUGGUAAACAGUUAUUUGCCAUAUGAUUGAAUUAAUUAAUGGGCUAACGCAGUGAGAGUUCACAACUUAACAGUGGUAGUGCAGUAAUCUCUAAUGUGAGUUUCAGUGCAGAGGUGUUGCUAGUUGAAUGCAAUGAUAUCAGAGGGGGAAAGUGGCUGUACAGUGGUAGUAAAAGUGGUCAAAAUGCUGUCGCGGUUUCAGUCUAACAUGCUUCUAGAUAACUAACUUGUGCCUGGCAUGUCCAAUUUGUACCCAUUUAUCAGAAGAAACUUUCCAUAUAAAAUGUUGUGAACAGCGCACGUUAUUCGCAUCCUAAUGAAGCUAAAUUUCCCAAAGACAAUGCAUAUGAUUAAAAAAAAAUAACACCCAGGCAAGAUAAAUAUGCAAUGCAAAAUUUAUUCUCUCUCAGAGUAGCUGGAAAAUGAGUUAAUGGCAGAAAGGAAAGAAGCAUUCAUACCUAGUUGUAUAAAUUCCUGCAGCCAAUGCAGUAGCUCCUCCAACAGUCAUAACCAACUUAUUCCUAUCAGUCAAUAAACUCCUAACACCCUCUGUAAAUUUAAUUAAAAAAAAGGGUUAUACCAGAUGCAAGUUUUUAUUGAUAACUGAAAGAUGAAAAAAACUUAUGAUGUUAUAUGUGAGAGUGUAACUUUUAUGAGGCAAAACAAAUUAAUUAAGCAGAUUCAAUUCAUUUCAAGAUAAAUUUAUGCGAUCCAGGCUUCAGAUGUUGUAAAGCAGAAAGUAUUAAAAUAUACUCAUCAGUCUUCAAAAUUACUGAGAAAAACAAAGUCAUAAAAAUCUUAAAAAGAACCCACAGAAAUGACAACUACCUAGAAUUAGAGAUUUCAUUCAACUGAUUAUUUACGAUUAAAUUUCUACAAUUUCCAUUAAGUAUAAACUUCUCUGUUGUAUACAUUAAAACAAAGAAUACAAUUGCAAAAGCUAAACAACAUAAUCAAAGACUAAUUCAGUGUAGAAUGUUGAUGUCGCAAUUAUGCUUUAAGCAUUAUGUUGUAUAUAGCAAGCUGCUUAUAACAUAUGAAAACAAAUAACUGGUAAGCGAACAAAAUGUAUAACAGGAUAAAUAAAUGAUGCCAAAUGCAGAAUUGUGUGGUCAUGGAAAAAGAACAAGCAGAAAGCCUCCAUUUGAAUAAAUUAAAUAUUAUUCAGAUAUGUUAGUAAUAGUGUUAAAGUUAUAUCCAAAGGGAAAACUAAACCAGAGUCAGCCAAAGCUACAGUCUACAUGGAUACAAAAACAUGUUAUUCAGUUGCAUACCUUCAAUGUGACUAAAAGUUGUAUUAAUUGCAGCAAGCCAUUUCUCUCUUUCACCAUUUAUUCGUUCUAUAAGCAUUCUCCUGUUUUGGUCCUCGGUUAAUUUUGCUUCAUGGGCUCGGCCCUCAGCCUCAGCCAUAGCCUUAACCCUAAUGGUUUCCCUUUCGAUUUCAGCUCUUUCUUUCUCAGUCAGGCGCUGCUGAGCCUGUAUUUGCUCUUCGGUAGAUCGUCUUGCUUGUUCUUUUCGUAUGGAAGACUCUUCUUGCAUUUUAACCAAUUCAGUAUUAUGCCGCCUCUGAGCUUCAUGAUCUGUCUGCAAAGAAAGACAGCACCAUAUCAUGUGAAUGGCAGAAAUAUUUCUGUCAGGAAGAAAGGAAUUCUAUAAAAAGAACUAAUAAGAAAGCUUAGUUGAUUUGCUCUGAUCCUCAUUUAAUUUCAACUAAUAAAACAAUGCAUGCCCAAUUUUAAUCUAUUACAAGAUCCAAGAAAUCAGGUAUAAUGAAGCCGAAAACAUAGUAUAGGCUCUGCUAUUUGACAAUCAAUGGCUCAGCAAUUUGAUGACUUCUUUCAACUAGCUCGAAGAUUUUUCAAUCCAAUUUGUAAUAAGCUUAUAUAUAAAGCUAGUUCAUGCACCUGCAAUCUUUUCCUGGCCAGCUCAUCUUCAUUUCGCAGCCCUUGCGCCCUUGCUUGCGCUUUUUGCUGAACUAGAUUUCUUUGUUCUUCAGCCAGCUUUCGUUGCCUUUCCUGCCAAAGCAUAUAGUUACAUUAUAACUUGAAGUCCAGAGCAGUUUGACAAACAUUUAUGCAACAAAGACGGCCCCUGUGAGCUGGUGUAUACAAGGAAAUUCAGCACGCUAUCAAAACUAAAAUUCCAAGCAUAAACAGUUACAUAAUGCAACAUGUGCAACAAACUUAGCAGAAGGUCGAUUCCAAUACCCUGCAUGGGAAAAGCAUCAAAUAUUCCCAUAAAAAUUUAGGGGGGAACAAAAUAUAAAGGUUUAUCACUCACAACAUCAACUUGAGAUUGAAUUGCUUCAUAGUGAACUUUCUCAACAUCUAACUCCGCCAGCCGUGUUUGCUCCUGCUUUCGCAUAAUAUCAAAAGCCUGUCGACAUAAAAGCGAUUCUCUUAUUAUCGCAUCAUACGAAAAAUUAAAACAAGCACUCUCGAGCUAAGAUAAAACAAAUUAAAAAAUCUAUUAAAAAACUAUUACUACCUCUCUGGCGUGACGUGAGCUAUUGAACUCGCGGAGAGCUUUGGCAGCUCUCUCUAAGGCCUCGGGAUCGAAUCCUGAUCCUCUUGGCUCUUCAGGCUCUCUCGAUUUCUGAGCAUCAGCCGUCUGUUCCGCUUCAUCAUUGCCACUCGACGUAGGCUGAGGAGAGGAAGAGAAGAAAGAAAAUCGCGACGGCGCGUCCGCGAAUGCUCGGUUUGAGGCCGUAGAGAGGGAGGCCACCGCGGCGGCCACUGCUAAACAUGAAGAUAAUUUCGACGCAGGCAUGGGUAAUGAUUAAGUAAUUACUUUAUGUGCUCAAUUAAAAUUAGGUUUUGAAUUCGAGUGAUCAUGUGAAAAUUGGGAUUUUUAGGGUUUAGCGUCUGACGCCACCGGAUAAACCCUAGAGACUCUGGUUGAUGGGGUUUAAGCGAAAACUAUUGCACUUACGUGGAGCAAAAGCCAAUUGCAGGCUAAACGCACCGUAUUGCUCGGCGGGGGCGGGGCGUUGAGUAGAGUCUCGGGUGGGCCUUAGGUUGUUCGGGUGUUAACAGUUUUGCGUUCUAGUCCUGGGUUCGUUCAUUCCUGCAUCGGUUGAGAAUUAUUUCGCUCCCUCGGUCAAACGCUACUGGGUUUUCUUUAUUUUUUACCAAAUUUUUUCUUUUAAACACCCAAAAAAAAAAUUGGAAAGUAAAAGCAAUUAGGAUUAGGAUAAUUUAACCACUUAAACGCCCUUUUGCUCUUUUAAAAAAUUACAUACUUUUUUAUCUUCACUUGCUAUUUUUUUUUUCUUCUAAUUGAUGAAAAUUAUCAGGAGUUUAAACAAUGAUUAGAUUUAUUCCUUUAUCACCUUCACUGGAACUCAUAAAUUAAUAUUUCUUUUUCUUUUUCAAGAUAAUAUUUUUUCCUUAAGAAAAGACUAAAAUGCAGUAUAAAAUUAGCAUGUGUGGAUGUUUUGCAUGGUUUAGUUAGAAAUACUAGUAAGGGCCCAUUGGGGAUUGUUUUUGGGAGGAUAAAAAAUAAUUUUGAGAAGAUAAAAACUAAUUUUGACGUUUGGUAAAUUUUUUUUUUUUUUAGAAAUCGUUUUGGAAAAAUUACCUCAUCGUACAACAGAUUUUGAAAACAAAAAAAAGGAGUAACUAUUCAAAAUCUGAUUUUAAAAAUUACUUUUAUACUUAAUAUAAUUUCAUAUAUGUUAUAAAAAUCUAAAAUUAUCUUCAUAAAUUUUAAACAGAUUAUUAUUAUUACCAAUUAUAUUGAGAUAACGGAAUAAAAAUAAAAAUAAUAUAUAAAAUAUUUAUUUUAGUUAUCAAUUAUUAUGUGUACACAAUAAAAAAUAUUUUGUCUAUAGGAUAAUGAUCUCUAAACCAUCAAAGUACUAUUUGCACCUAUAUUUUAAAAAGUAUUUUAGUUACUAAUAUACCCCAAACUUAAAUUAUGAUUUUAGCCAUUAGACAAGACAAUAAAAACUAAAGAAAAUAAUUCAAUCCCUUUGCUCUUCUUCAACACCGCCUAUACCGUGCCUUCAAUCUCAAGUAAUGAAGCCAAACAAAAGAAUAAUGUUUAGUCAAGAUCAGAUUAGGCACUUUGAGACAAGCUUCAGUGCGAAGAGAAAAUAAGCAUCAAGUUGAUUACAAAUUGAAGCUUGUCUGCGGAAUAAACAUUCCACCAGCAAGAUGAUGUUAGGCUUCAAAGUACAUGAAACCAACAAAAAAAUCGUUUCCAAUACAGAUUUUUUAUUAAUUAUGAUAUUUGCUUUUUAUAAAUUUCUAAUUUUGGUUUUGGUUUUGGUUUUGGCUUGUUAUGGACACAAACGAAUUGACAGCGACUAGAGAAAUGCAUACAGGCAAUUUAUUUAAACACGUCUGGAUGUAUUGUAAACAAUAAAUUAAUGCAAAUUUUUAAUUUUAUUUUGUUAAUUUAUGAGAAUAAUUCCAAUCAAAUACAUGUUUAAAUGAUUGAUAUUUGAUACUGAUCCACAAUAUUUUUAUAUUAAUAAAUUAUUUUAUUUUGAAGGAAAUCAAUGGGAGUAUUAGUUGGUAGAUUUAUGUGUGUAAAAUAAUCUGAGAGCAUGUUUGGUAUUAAGGUGGGUGAAUAUAGUAAAAUCUUUAUUUUCAUAUUUUAGUAGUAAUUUUUUUUAAUUAAAUUGGUUUAUAGAGUGUUUUAGUGGACUCAAAUAGUCUCAAUCUUAUAUACAUGUUUAAACAUUAUGUCCAAUUUAGUUAUUUACAUUCUUACAACAGUUUAAUAGUAAGAUUUAUUAAAUACAUACACACAACUACUUUUAAACUUACAAUUGGCACUUUUAAAAAUAAAUUUUACCCAACAUUUAACUGAUUUUUUUUACAAGUGAUUAUUUCUAUAGCCUAGUUAAUAAUUAUUAUUUUUAAAAGUUACAGCAGUAUUAGGCCCUAAAUAAUACAAGAUAAUUUAUAUCUAAGCAAGAUUGAUUACGAUUUUUCAUAUAUGUGAAGUAAAAUUGUAUGUUGUAUUAUGUUCAAUGAUUCAUUACUUUUAAAAGAUAAAUACAAGUAUAGCAUAAUUCUAAACUAAAUCUCUUGUAAGCUAGGUUUGAAUCUUAUUCAUCAUUAUUAUUGAUCCCACAAUGUCGUUUCCAGUGUCACAAUUCACAAUAAUAAUAUCUUAGAUAAAUUUCAUUAUCAACAAAUGAGACUGAGAUCGAUCCAGAAUUGAAAUAUAUAUAAUGAAAAUUAUCAACGUAAUUAAUUAUUAGAUGAUCCUCAUUAUUCAUCAAUGUGUGUGUGUGAGUAUGUAUAUAUAUAUAUAUAUAUAUAUAUAUAUAGAUAGAUAGAUAGAUAGAUAAAUAGAUAGAUAGAUAGAUAGAAACCUAUAAGGUUACUAAUACAUUAAUUGAUCUAUUCAUUUAGGAAACAGGAAUUAUUUUUCGUACACUGGAAGCAGAAACACAACAUAAUAAUUAACUCUAUUACCUGCAAACUCGAUACAAUAUCAAUAAUACUGCCACAAGCUACUAGUCCACGGAAACAGAAACAGCUAGAGGAAUACACAUAAAGAACAAAGAAGAAGCACUUCCAAUAACAAUACGUAUAUCUUCAUAGUGGCCAUCACCAUUUAGCCAAUACUUCACUGCAUCUACUACUUUUUUUUCUCAUAUAUACCUGCUCACGGGUUACAUAGUUCAGUCACGCAGUACACAAAGGGGAGCUUUUUAACACUUCAAGAGUGCCUGCAAGGAAGAAAAAAGUUUCAAGUUAUAUGGAAGCAAUCUUGGCUCACGAAGGGAAAAACUUCUGAAAUUUCCAAAAGGGUUACAUACAUUCAUUUAAAUUAAUAAUUCAAACUGCCAACAGGAUUAUCACUAUUUAAUAGUAUAGUAGCCAAAAAGUUCCAGAUAGGUUGGAAAAGUUUUGGUCCUGAAUGAAGACGAGUGAGAAAUAAUAAAUAAAAUGUUGAGUUUGGAGUUUACAAGAGAAUCCUCACGGGCCUGAAAUUUGGGGGGGAAAAAAAAGGUGUUAUCGAGUGACUCUUACAUGGGGACUUAUUGAUUGAGCUUGUAACAGUAGUGAGAUCUUUGGGCAUGUUAAUUAUCUGAAAAGAGUAAGAUUAGAUCUCAUGUGGGCUUUGUUUGGCUUAGCUAGAGACAGGAUAACAAGUUGAAGGCAGUGCGGUCAGGAAAUGCCUUUUUCUCUCUAUUAAUUUAAAUAUUAUUAUAAAUGACAAGCAAUUUUGUGAUCAAGUGGAAGCUGUUCUUAUUGUUUGUGAUCUGAUCAAUAUACUUGGUAAAGGACCACUGACAAUAAGCGCUUUGGAGUUCUCCAUCCCGGAAUGGCCCCACCGCAAUUUGGCUUCUUUAGCGAACUAGAGUUACGAUAACGGAGCACAGAAGCAUGAUUGUCACAUCACUCAACACAAAGAAAGAAAGAAAGAAAGUGACGGGCACUGUGGAUACAUGCAGAAAAGAUAUUCAAAAUCAUGGCCGAUAUAAUUAACGAAUGAAAGAAUGAAAUACCUUAUAAAUGCUCUAGAAUCUUAAUCGUAAAAGCAUCCGAGGAGAUGAUCAGUUUCCGGUUCCAGUAGUAGAGCGAUAGUUGGGGUGGGGAUACCUGCCAGCUUCAAUGUCAUUGAUAUCCUUAACGAGCAGUUCAUAAUGUUUCUUGACGUCUUCGACUGUUUUGCCGCUAACAGCCUUAGCAACAUUGUCCCAGCGGUCAGGGGUGUCCUUGUCAUAAAAGGCCAGAGCUGUCUCGAAUUGUUUGUUCUGUUUGACAGUCCAGGAUGAGCCAGAGCUGCGUGAAGAAGUCAUAGUGUUGGAUGCCAUAAAUUAAUUAGCAGCAGCAGUAGCACUAGCAGAGUUAACGAUCAACUCUCGACCGAGAAAAUAAUUUAGGAGUAAUAAGAAGAUAACUAAAAUUCAAAGCUCUGGAGAAAGAGAGAUAUCGUUGCACUUGGAGUAAGGAAGAAAUUAAAUUAAACUUGGAGGCCAGGGGAUGGAUUAAUGGGGUAGAGUGUGAAGAGAGAUGAGCAGAGCAGCUCCUUAUAAGCAGGAGCCAGGAGGGAAAGUGUGGUGGGGUAAAGCCAGUUGGACGAAUAUAUCCUUUUAUUCAAUACAGCGACUCGUACCACUUAAGAACCACAAACCCAAGGAGAAAAAGCCACUAAAGAGAUUGAGAGAAGAAUUAAUCCAGUAUCAAAGGACAACCCGCUGUUUAAUCACAGUAUUUGGUUUGAUAUUCAAUAUUCCUUGAUUAUAUCUGGCUACCAAGUAGCAAGUGGGAUUUUUCUCUGUUACUUCCUUGACAUUAGACAUUAUUAGUGGAUAUUAAUUCAGGUCAUAGUCUUCGAAUAAUAAUAUACCACUAUUAUACAUUUGCAUCAGCUUAAGGCAUAUUUCGUUAUCUUCCCCCAACUUCCCCCCCACCCCUUUUUGGUCACCACGCAAGAGUUUAUAUAUACUCUUAAUAAUUCAUAUGUCGAUCACAAAACUUGAGGCUGCUUCUUAGAAAGGAUGACUUUCCAGGCGAAGUAGCUGCUUAAUAAUUCACACGUCGAUCAUCCUUAGCAAUUUGGCUUUUAUAAUAGUCAAAGCUUUGGGAAAUUUAUAAAAAUAUCCCAAUUUUUUUUGUAAUUUUAACAAUUGGCCCUCCAAAUUUUUUUCCUAUCAACAUUAGCCAAAAAUCCUCUCAAGCGCCGAAAAUACCCCUCCCAUUCUCACCAAGCUUCCUCUCAUUCCUAAUUUUUUUUUGUAAUUUUAACAAUUGGCAUCGCGCCCGUCGCACAUGAUUCGAGUGAUAGGCGCGCGAGAGGUGCUGUCGCUCCCGCUUGUGAUGUGCGACAGGCUCAAGCGCGCACAACAGGUGCGACUUGUGCGACAGGCAACCUCUCGCACCAAGUUACAAUUUUUUUUUUUUUUAACGUGAAGUUAUUAUUUUGUUAUAAAUGCAAUAUAAUAAUGUUAUAAAUACAACAGAUACAUGGCGAAAUCAGAAGGAUCAAGACAUGAACUGGGCAGGAUAAAGUUAGCUUAUGCCGAUCACUUCCCGGGCACGAAUUUCGAGUAUGUGUAACUUAGCUACAGUCGUAAAAGCCAUCGAGAGAAACUUAACAAAAACGACAGUUACGUCUAUUCAAGGACGACAUAUUUGGGCAUUUCUUGGAGUGACGAAACUUUCCGUUCAGUGGGGUAAUUUUUCAGAAUGUGUUGCUUAGGCAAGUGGCCCAUGGAAAAUACAGAGAGAAUGAUCAGUUAUAGUUUCAAAUUGGUGAGCAUUUGAUACGUUUAUCAAUUGGAGAAUGGUGUCUGGUUACUGGACUUUCUUAUGGUGUAGAUACCGCACUAAAAAAUUCAAAAACGGUGCAUAGGCUAUUGAAUACGUAUUUUGAUGGUUUGUUUCGCAACAUCAAUCUUAAGUAAUUCGAUGUAUUAUUUGAGGAGUUGGAUUUCGAGGCUAUAUUCAUUGGGAUUUAUUUGUACGAUCUCAUAUACUCUUGCCAAAAACUGAUCAAACAGAAAAUUUUUCCGAACAAAAGAAGUUGUAUUCUUAGCAUUCACAUAAUCCAUACGGCCAUUUGCUAACGUCUCCCACCAACCAUCAUAACACAAUUGAAGCAAAAAUGAAUCCAUUAAGCAUGAAAUUAUUAAAAAAAAUUAAUUACGUACUAUGAAACAUAAUAAAGAGAAUAAGCAAUACAAUUUUAUAUAUAACAUUAAAAAAAUAAUUGUAUUUCGUGCGACAGGCACCUAGAGAUAGUUUCGGUGCAACUCACUCUUGGUGCGACAAGCGCCUGUCAUACCAACAUACAAUCGGACUGAAACUCUCAUGUCACACGAAAUUAAGUUGACAAAACACCUCUUACCACUCGGUGAUACAAAAACAAAGUAUAAAUAAUUUAAGAAAUAUUUCAUCAAACAUUUAAUACGUCAUAUUUUUACAAAGUAUAUGAGCUUUAUGUCACUUUGCUAGAAUCGUGUCGAUUAGUGUUGGAUCCGGAUGGAUUAGGCUGUAUUUGAUCAUAGUUCACUUUUAUCGUUCAUCCUCGUCGUUUACUGUUGCCGUUUGCUAUUGUCGGUGAUGAUUCAAGAGUGCAAGGCUGCGUUUAAUUUGAUAAAGAGGGAGAAGAAAAGUUGUGUUUGGUUUAAUAAACAAGAUAAUUUGAAAAAAAAAAUCUUUUGUUUAACUAAUUAUGAUAGAAAAAAGUUUGAAAUGUCAAUUGUGAAAAUUAUAAAAAAAUUUAGAUUAUUUUUAUAAAUUUUCCCAAAGCUUUUAGCUGUAUUGGUGGAAAAUUCAACUCUAGCUCGCCUUGUUGCACCACAGAGAGACAAACAAUUACACGUUUUUCGUACGAGGACUCAGCUUUAUUUCACCACUGUCCACUGCAGUCUGCAGAUAGGGCUUCAAACAGCUAAUGAAUUUUUGAUCUUAUCCGAGUAAAAGCAGUGUAUGGACAAAAAUUAUUUGAGCCAUUGAAUUCAAUUUACCACAAAAGAAGAAGAGUAGUGGACGAGGAUUGAUUGAUGGCAAAUUUUUAAUAGUGGAAGUAAUACUUACCAUGCAAGGGCCAGGGGCCCUUUCGGAUAAGGGCAAUUGGCCCAACUCAGUAGGAACUGGGAAGGAAGGGGAAAGGGGGACUCAAUUAGUUCAUUUUAUACUUAAGUAUCAAUAUUUGAAUUGAAGAAUCUAAUACAAUAGUAAUAAAAUAUUUAUAAUAUCACAUAAUGUUAUAGUGUUAGGUAAAAAAUUAAUACUAUUAUACUACAUAGUUUUACAGUCAAUUAUCAUUAUUAUUAAGUAAGCGUUACGCUUUUUUAUCAUUAUUCUUUCUAUUAACAUGUUCUGUUCUAUCAACAAUUUUGUCUUUGUUUUGUUUCACUCUCGUGUGUUAAUUGAUCCACAUGCUUUCCCCCAAUGCCGACAACAUUUAUUAAAUCAAAAAUGUCUCUUUCAUUAUUUAGGAAAGUUAUUGGAAUUUAUCAAAGGGCUUCGAGAUAAUGACGUGGCUUGAUGAAAGUAAAUUUUCAUGCAUGUGACUUGAUCACAACAGUGUUGAUAAAGAUUGGUAGGUAAUGGAUUUUGUCUCGUCCUCACUGUCUGUAGCUGUAAUAAUUAUUAUUUUCUGAAAAUUCUUUUUAAAUAGUACAGCAGAAUAUAAAAAUCGAACUCCUCUCCAAUCUCGAAACAAGCAAAGUUCAAAAUUAACCUCUUGAACCAUUUGAAAAUAUCCUGUUAAUCAAAUAAGUCAUUACCCACAUGUCUCAAGCAUUUUAUCAAUCAAAAUAAUCUGUGCCCAAAUUUUGUUUCGUAUGCACAGAUAAAAUUGAUCAAGUCAAUUGAAAUAGGAUUGAAUAAGGGCCUUUGAGUGGACAACAUUAGAUCAUGAAAUCAGCAAAAGCCAUUAUAACCUAAAGGACUUGUCUAAGCUGUGUGUUCUUCAUGUGUCUCCACGUCGAACCCCCCUUUCCUUCAAAACAAAUGAAUGAUUCUAAGGAAAUUCACAACCCCGCCCCUAGAAUUCCAUUAAUGGGACCAGUUUGAUCUUGUAGCAUGUAUAAAGUCAAGCUACCCAUUAGGAUAAAUCUGUUCCUUUUGAGUUGCUCCUGUUCUUUAUGGGUUGCUCUUCUCUUAUAUCAUAAGUUUAUGCUCACAUCAUUGAAAACUUUGACAAGCUUGGUGGAAGCAUCACUAAAAACAUUUUGAGUGAUGGGUGGGUUUAAACAUGCCUAACUUAUGGCUAAUCUUCUAACUACCAAUAAAGUGACUUAUUAAGGUUAUUUUUAGAACUGCAGUUAGAUAAUUAUAAAUUUUGAAGUUAAAAUAUUAAAGUAUUUGCAUGUUUGUUAAACACUUACUAUUGUAAUUUAAAAAUGAAGUUCAUUUUAAUUAACUCACACUUGUAUAAUGAAAAGUUAAAAUAUCUUCAAUAUUUUUGUUAAAAUAAUCGCUUAAAAGUCACAAUUACCGUACAUAAUUAACUUUUAUUUCAUAACUUUUCAACAACAUAUUAAUAUCAAACAUAGCCUAAAUAUCUAAAUAUCAGUAAAUGUAAAUAUCUAAAUAUCAGUAAAUGAUGGUGAGGAAGAUGAUGCAUAUACUCAGUAUCAUUUCUUGUACAGUAUUUUUGUUAGACACAAACACUACCCUCGGUACAUUAUACCAUAAAAAGUAUACAAGUUGGGAGAUCAAGCCAGAAAAAUGUUUAACUUAUAUACUGUUAAUCAGUAUGCACCAACCGGAUCACUACCAAAUCUUGGACGAUCUAGCAAUAUUGAAUCUUAUCAUGACUGGCUUUUUGUGCAACUUCUUUUAAACUUUUGGGCAUAAUAUUGUGAUACAUGAUUCUUCCACUUGCUGAUAUUCCAAUCUAGAUAUAAGAUAUAUGGACUCAAAUUUUUUGCUGAAAAAGAUAAUAUAGUUUCCUGUAAUAUAUGUUAUGAAGUAACAUCCGAAAUUUACAGAUAAUAUCUUGACGGAUACCCAGAACCUAAUUUGCCAACCCAAGCUAGUUGGUAGCAGAAACUGAGCUUUCACUUACCAGUGGAAUUGUCAAGUCUAUGAUUCGCUCAUGGAAUAUGUCAGUUGAAGUUGCUUUCUCCGCUUAGAAAGCAGGAAAAGUGUACGGACAGUUGAAUUUCUACUUCAUCUAGAUAUGUUAGCUUUUGUUGUUACAUGCUGUCAGGUCCAAUGCAUCAUACGUGUGUUAAAUGCUAAUAGUUUGUUGCAUUAUUAUCAGCACUGACCAGUUGUUACAGUAGGUCGCACAAUAUAUAGAACGAUUUCAUUGCAUUCAAUUAAUUAUCCUGGUUUCGAUGAGAAAACUUAACUUCACACCAUUAAUUGUCUCAAAAUUGCUUUGUUGGCCUGGAGUGUGGGGGUGGUGUGGUGGAGUCUAAUCAUUUGAAGAGAAAGAUUUGUUGGUAUGUGAAGGGAAUCUGAGUAAGAGAUAGUGGUGUGUUUCUGGUCCUCCUCAUAGUACCUCAUCCUGCUAAAGUUUCUGGAAUCCUUAUCAUCUCUUAGAAAGCAACGGCCAUCGGGAUUCCUGCUAUUUUCUUUUCUCAACUUUUUUACUACUCCAUUUGCUUAGCUACUUCAUCAUUUAACAUUUUUUUUUUGCUGAUUCCAACUUCGAUUAUUCCUCUUGCUUUUAGCUAUGGUCAGCUGCCUGGAAAAUUACAAACCCCCCAGCUUUUAGCAGGAUGCCUAUUGAUGCAAGCAAUGACCGAAUAUUUUUCUGAAAAAAAAAAUCUACAGAAUCUAAUUGAUUCUAGAACAUAUUUUGAAGAAUUGUUAAUUAUGAAACACAGAUGAGAGAUAUUGAAGUUUACAAUAUCGAGAUUUUAUAUUUACUGAUAACAAAUGACCAAAAAUGUUUGUAUGUCUGAGUAGAGGAGGGUUUGAUUCAAAAAUCGGAACUGGCGAGUGCCUUAGUUUUGUUAAAAGCUGGAAGCACUGGCUAUUAUGUACAGAAAUUCUGAAGUAAUAUUAAUAAUAGUCGGAUGAGAAUCCUCUCAUAAUUCGAGCUGUUAGGAGUUUUUAAAAAUCACAUGAGGUACAUUUUAGUCAUACCAUAUGAAUAAGAUUUAACUUAUUUGUUUAUUUUUUUAUUAAUUAUCAAUAACUAUUUAAAGUUUUGCUCAAUAUAAUAUCAUAUUAUGAAAGAAUUUUAGACCAUAUGAAUUGUCGGUGGAUAAGAAAGACGUGAUAGAAUUGUUGUGAUCGGAUGGAGAGAUGGAGACUUUUCUAUGGUUUAUAUUCUCAAUUACAUAAAAGAAUGCAUAAUUAACUACAUGUUCUUGAUUUUUUUUUUAAUUACAUGAGACUAAUGCUUAAAUUAUAAUUCAUAUUUAAUAGGAUUAUUCGAGAGAUACUCACUUCACUCAUGUUUCGAAAAAGAGAAUGUUGCCAUCACUUAAAUUAAGGAAAGCUCGAAUUCAUGACCUCACAAUUGUGAGAUUUGGAUUCUAACAAUUGUGAGACACAUGUUCUUGAUAAUUAAGUACAUGUUAAAAGAUUUUCUUAAUACAUCCACCGUGCAUUAUUUGUUUCAUCGUGACUGUAUCACCUUUUAUAAUCAUGUAAGUUUUGUAAUUUUACAGUUGUAGCAGUUCAACUCUUCAGUGAUCUCAUAUUUAAUGAGAUUAGUAUACUGAUAUUUACAAUCAGAAAAUUACUGAAACUAAUUUACAAAUCUUAUAAAGCACAGCCCAAAUUUUAACCCUCUCUAAUAUUCGAGGGACGCCCACUCCACUCAUGUUUCGAAAGAAAGAAUACUACAUUCAUUCAAAUUGAGGAAUGAAAUUAACUCAUGAUAUCACAAUUAUGAGGCUUGGAUUCUAACAAUUGUGAGGCACUUGUUCUUGAUAAUUAAGUACAAGUUAAAGGAUUUUCUUAAUACAUCCACCGUGCAUUAUUUGUUUCAUCGUGAUCGUAUCACCUUUCAUAAUCAUGUAAGUUUUGUAAUUUUAAAGUUGUAGCAGUUCAACUCUUCAGUGACCUUUGAAAAAAACAAAAAAAAAAAUCUCCAUAUGGUAAAAAUAAGGACGUAGGAAAUAAAAAAUAAUCUACAAAUUGAUAAAUGAAUAAAAUAACAAACAUUUACUUUCAUUCAAUGUAAGUUCAACUUCAAUUAACCUAUGGAGAUUAAGAUUCUCUUAUGAUCUGAUUUCUUCAUGAGUAAAAAUAUAUAUGGAUGAUUGAUAAUUAAUAAAUAAAAAAAUAAAAAAGUUAAAUUCUACCUAUAUAUUAUUACUUAAAAAUACAUAAUAUAAAAUUUUUAAAAACUCAUGAAAGAUCAAAUCAAGAAAUGAUCUUUUUCCAACCUUAUAGUCUCUGAUGCAAUAUUCGAGACUAGAGAUAUUAUUAUGAGUAAUGAUAUAGCCACAAACUCUUGUACAAACUUAUUUUGUACAAACUGAUGUGGCACGAUAAGAUUGAUUGAAUUAAAUAUCACUUGUCUCACAUAGUUUAUUUUUAUUAUUUUAUAUUUUCAUUCAACCAAUGAAUUAAUGACACAUCAGUUUAUACAAAAUAAGUUUGUACAAUAGUUUGUGGCUAUAUCAUUACUUUAUUAUUAUUAGAGGAAAGAUCAAAUUUGCCGGUUCCUCGGCUGAUUCUUGGUCGAUUGAUAUGCUGGCGUCUUGGGCUUUUUGGAAGGGGCCUAUAUAGUGGACUUUAAAUUUUUCAUCUGUAGAUGUAGUAUAAUGAGAAUGGUUGCAAGUAAAACACCUCAAAGCCCCCUCAAAAUUCCCCAUCCAAUAAAGGCUCUUUAUAUGAUUCUAAUAACACCUAAAUAAUUCCAAAGCAGCCCUCCGUGUCAGAGUUUCUAGGUUGGUUACUCGGUUCACACAUACUUUAGUUCUCGGAUUCUUGCUAGCUUCUUUUAAUUUAUUUUUAUUUUUAUCUUAGGAAAAAAAAAACCUCUUUCUUGCUAGCUUGAUAGCAUGGAAGUUGCACAAAAAUACAUUCAUAAUUCAUAAUAACAUAAUUAUAAAUAGCUAUAAAGAUUGUGGUCAUCACACCCUCUUAGAAGAUGUCUAACUUUAUUGAAACACUCUAGUUCAUUAUUUUAUGCCCAUAAUUCGGAACACUUUUCUCACAAUUAUAGCAACGGCACCCAAUAGCAGUCUAACUCAAGAGAAAUCCCUUCCUGAAGAUGUAAAUAUAAUCAUAAUUCAUCUGCCAAUUACCACUAGUUAGCUGUAUCAACAUCAACAUCAGGUUUGUAAACAUAUGACCUCCAUAACUCUUGAGUAGUUUGUGUUCACCAACACUUGUUCAAACUAUCAAAUUAAAAGAAGGAUUUGCAGCACUGCUAGCACAAUUUAUAGGAUUUGUAUUGCGAAUUUAGGAGGAUUCUUAGUGAAAUUGUACAGGAAGAAAAGAUUUGUACUGGCCACAAAUUGAUAUCGAAUGAGGCUUUGUCAAGUGCAAGCUUCUCUUUAAAUGAAAUUUUCAUCAGAGAUAAAAUUGUAAAUUUCAAGUAAGGGUUUUAAGAGGACUUUUGACUUUUGAGGAGUUUUAGUAGCACCUUGAACGGGCAAAAUCGAACCCCUUAAUUUAUUUGUGAAGAUGCUAAAGUUUAAUGCAAUUAUAGUGAAUGCAUGCAGAGGAAAGCUUGUGUGGGGCUUGUUGAGGUAGUGCAUUUGUUCCCUAAGACUUGUCAUUUGAUAGGUUUGAUCGGUAAGUUUCACAAAUUAAAUAAUAUAAUUUUGUUUUACGUUGAAAUAAAAAAAUUAGUGAGUAUCUUGUUGUGAGACCAAUUAGACCAGUGUGAGACCAAUUAGACCAGUCAAAGAUAAUGCACCUUCUCAACACAAGUUUCUUUGAAAGCGAUUCGUCGAUUCUUAAUACAAAUCGGCAAUAUGGUGAGACUUUUGAAUUGGUUGAUAUAUUUUUUAAAAAACUUAAUUAAUUCCGGCUAAAUCGUUGUAAUUUUUAGUCCAAAAAUCCGUAAUUUUUUUUUUUCGAACACGUUACAUAUUUAUUGUGGCCGCAUAUACGUCUAACCUUGAAUCCAUAAAACCUAUUGCCAGCGGCUAGUGAAUCUUGACAAAGAAGGGGAAAGAACGUCUAUAAACUCCCCAGUUGAUGUGCAAAUUAAAUUAAAGCAACCUGAUUUCAUAAAAGAAGAUAAGAAAGUAACUGAAAAGAGCAUGUACCAGAUGCCAAUCUUGGCUUUUUUAUCAUGCCAAAUUGCCAAUGAUACACGAUGUUUUCUUAAUUUUCUGCUUAACUAAAAUAAAAUUAACUGUUUGCCCUCUGCUAUCGAAAUGCCUAAGGCCAGGUACCAACUUGCAUGAAGCGUUUCUCACUCAAUUCGUGCUUUGUCAAACUCAAACUAUUCAAUUUCUCCAUCUUCUGAAUUCAUCAUUCAAAGUUUUAAGAAAAUUGGACAAAUUUUAUCCGAUUUGCAAUCAUUAAAGGCUUAGUUGUAGCUUUUAAGUUAUAGUAAUAAAUUAUUUUGAUAAAUAUUACUUGUUAUAACUCGAAAGUUAUUGAUUUGAUCAUAUACAUGUAUGAUGAAAAACCUAUAAUAUUUUUACUAUUUUUAUUAAAAUUAUUAUUUCAAAGUUACAUUUACUAUAUACUAUCAAUUUUCAUUUCAUAAUUACAAUUUUUUUUUAAUAUUAAACGUGACUUAAAAAUUACAUUACCUUAAUAUCAAAUGGGUAUAAGAUAGAUUGCCAAAAUAUAAACAUCCUUAUCUUUUUAUUAAGAUCAGGAAUUUGAGUCUACCAUAUACGUCGUGCGACAAAAAUGUAAUGGUGAUAAUUUUAAAUUUGUAUUGAUGUAAUGUUUUUAGAGCAGAUCCUAAUGCUAUUGAUCUUGAUUCCAGAUUGAAAAGUUGGGUUUUUCGUCAUGUAUAGGCCACUUGCUCAGAAAGAAACGUAUUCGAAAAGCAUGGGCAUGAAGUUCAUGUCAAUUUAUUUCACUUCAAACUUGAAUGUAGACUAUAAACCACUGGCCUUGACAUUUCAUUGUCGUGCGUGUUUGCAGCACCAUUAACAAUAUCAUCCAAAUAUAUGUAAAGCUUAUUUAUUUCUUAUAUUUUAAGUUAAGUAUUCAUUUAAUUCAUAUAUUUAAAAAAAUUACCUCAAAAUACUCUGUUGUUGCAAAGGCACAAAAAGUAUUAGUUCUUUUAUAUUGAUAUUUAUUGGUUAAUUUGUUAAUAAAUAAUUAUUAGUUAAUUUGCUAAUGAACUUUUUUUUAUAGAUAAAUCAAUUAAUAUCAAGAAUGUUGUUGAAAGAAUAUUGUUAUAAAAAGAAAAAAAAAUAAGGGUAAGAAUAUGACACAUUUAAGUACAAGGUAGUUUGAUGUAUUUUUUUAAAAUAAAUGAAAUAAACAAAUAUUUAAAUUAAAAUAUAGAGACUAAAUGAAUAUUUACAUAUUCAUUAAUUCCUUUUUUCCUAAAUAUAGAGAAAAAUUCAAAUUCCUUUAAUCUCAAAUUUACAAACCUAGAUAGCACACUUAAUGACAGUAUAGUAUUAAUAUCACCAAAACAGUGAAUCAACAUCUGAUUUGUUUACAAACCUAAGCAGCACGUACAUGUAAUGGUAGCAUUUACACGAUGCAAGCCUAGUUGUUCUUGAGAAAUUGCUUUAAAAGUAUACAUAUAACCCACAAGUCGUCUCAUGUUCCUUCUUCUUUUUUGGUGCCUAUCGCCCUUUUUAGCUUUUAGGUAGGCCAUUUGUGUAGAAAAAGGGAAGCAAAGCUUAAGACUAAAGACAAAACUAAGCCAUUAUACGUACUAGCUAGGGUGAGAAGAUUUGAAUGGACUAAGAGGUGCAUUCACAUUAAUUGGGUCAAACCUAAAUUAACAUAUCAGGUAGUUGACGGUAAAUAAAUCAUUAGAUCAUUAUCGGUUACGUGGUAGCCACAUAUUUAGAUGAUCGAAUUUGCUACGAAAUGUUAGACUUCAUUUUCAAUCUAUAUCUCUGAUGACAUCCAAUCUUCAGUCAUCACUCAAACAAUCAACAACA
rnacentral:lncRNA from 1 species